rnacentral:sRNA from 1 species
ACCAAAAGUGGCCCACCAUCUCCCAUGG